rnacentral:misc_RNA from 1 species
GAUGAAGAACGCAGCGAAAUGCGAUAACUAAUGUGAAUUGCAGAAUUCCGUGAAUCAUCGAGUCUUUGAACGCACAUUGCGCCCCCUGGUAUUCCGGGGGGCAUGCCUGUCCGAGCGUCAUUACAACCCUCAAGCCCGGCUUGUGUAAUGGGCGGCCGUCUCUCCCCCCGGGGGGAGACGCCCCCGAAACUCAGUGGGGAUGUCGCGAUACCGAAGCCUCAGCUAAUGGGUAAACCACAGCUGCAAUGGCCGCGGCCGGCGUCCGCCUUCCACGGUCCGUCCGCCUAGCGCGGGCGGCCUUCUCAAGGUUGACCUCGGAUCAGGUAGGGAUACCCGCUGAACUUAAGCAUAUCAAUAACGGAGGA